rnacentral:lncRNA from 1 species
UUUAUAUUUUUUUUUUCUUCCGCCUUAUUUUGUUCUUGCGAUAAAUAUUUGUUUCGCAAUAUGUCGCUUAGAUAUUUGGUAUAUGAUAUCGAACAGUUUAUGCGCUUUUGAAAUUUACCCUGCGUAACCGAAUACUAUUCAUUGUAGGAGUUAUUUCCCCAAACACUGUUUUCCUUGUGUCCACUACUCCUUCGCAACCGUAAAAGAUUACGACAAAUUUAUUUUAUAAAAUUGCUUGUAAUAUCCUU